UUUUGCAAAAAAGUAAACUAAGGAUAAAAAAAAAAAAAAGGAACAAUGAGGUCUACAUCUCUUGAAUUUAGUGUGAGUUUUUAGCUUAAGGUUAAAGAAGUAAGAAAAGAAAGAGGUUUGUGUUUUGGAGAGUAUUAGGUAGCAGAAGAAAGGGAGGAAUUGUUGGAAAAGCCCAUGCUGAUAGCCUUGAUUUAGAAGUAAUGGCUGUAUGUGUUGUUUGGAAAUGGCUGUAUAUGUCAGUUUGAGGCUGUUUAACACUGCACAUUGGAUCAAGUGCAAUUUGAUUUGCUGAUAACAUAAGCAUAAAUAAAUGUAUAGUUUUUACUCUUGCAGAAGAAGUAAUGGAUGUUAAUAAAAGCAUUUCUGACCUCACUAAUAUAAUGGCCUUCAUUGAAUGAUUGAUUGGUGGGAAAUUGAUUUUUAAUUUCUUGAUAUGAUUAUUGGCACUUUAUUGAUUUUCUUUUUUAAGUUGUUUUUAGAACUGCAGGAAUAGCCUUAGUGUUGGUUAUUGAUUCAGUUUCCAAGUUGAAAAUUUUGGAGACUAAUAUGCAAUUUUUCUCUGAAGGUUGGGCAUUCUAUUGGUUCCUACAUAUCUAUUGAAACACUAAGGAGGUCUCCUGAGAAGGUCAAAUAUUACAUAGGACUUUAUCCAUUUUUAAUGUUGAACCCUCUAUCAGAGAAGCAGAUUAGUAUCAAGAAAAUUGCAGAGUCCCCCAUUCUUUCUGCUUUGCUUAGUUUCAGUAUAGCAUCAGUGGGAGUGCUACCUAGGUGUGCUUCAAGAACAAUUGUGUCAAACUCUAUUGGGAAGUCAUGGUCUGCUACUGCUGUUAAUGCUGCUUGCAGCCACUUGCUACAGUAUCAUACCUUCCGGAACAUGAUAUUUAUGGCAUUGACAGAAUUUAGAAAGGUAAUCUUGCUUGCUUAUGAGAUUUACAUUGCAAAGUAGUAAAUUGUAUGAUUAAUAGUAGUAUAUUUGAUAUUCACAGAUCCUAAAAUAGCUCUUGAUAUGGUGUUUGCAUGAAAUAUAAUCCACCAAAUAUGAUGAGAGUUCAUGUGAAUAAUAUAUUUUGUGUUUGGAAAAUAAAAAAAAUUCAUGUGAAAUUAAAAAUUCCAUGCACCACUAACCAUAAAUCUAAUUAGAGUUAAAUGCCUCUUAUCAUUUAAUUGAAUCAAUACCUUUGCCUAUCUUUUUGGCCCCUUGCUUUUUUCUCACUUUCUUUCUCUAUAUUAAUUCAUAUAGGCUUUCUGGGGAAUUAAAAUAUUACAACAACCAGCAACUUGGCUUCACUAGGUGUGUUCAUCUGUUUCAUGCGUUGACAAAGCAUGCUAUCAAUUCUGAUUGAACCCAGAAGAAAGAGAAUGAAACCAACAACCAAUUUUGAUGAAACCUAACAAAAAGCAAUACAAUCAACAAUAUCUUCUCGUUGCUAAGGAAAGAUGGGAACAAAUUGUACCUAAAGUUACACAUGGUUACUUGCUGUUCAGAACCCAUUAAUAAAAUUACUUGUCUCAUAUUGAUAUGAGUGAAUUGGAACUUUUAUUGGUGAAGAAUUGAUAUGAUUGUAUAUGAUUUGAAGAGGAAAUGGGGAUGGAGAUUCAGAUUAUUUUUAAUGGUGGUAGAGAUCAUUUAUUGCUAUUCAGAUUAGAGGAAAUGAGCAAGGCAAGGAACUGAGAUGAGAGGGAUAGGAUAGGACCAAGAGAUGUGUGAAGAAGAUAGAUUCUCGUUCUGUCAUGGGCUUCAUAACCUAGGGAAGAUAAAAGAAUUAUAUUGCCUAUAAUAUUUUAAGUAUCAAAAUAAUAUUACUUAGUAACAUAAAUGUUGGAUCAGUCAGUCUAUUCCAAUUUUAUUUCCAAUAAGGCAAUAACCAACCCAAUAAAUCAGGUUUUAUAAAUUUUAAACAAUAGCCAAUAAGAUUGAAUUGGCUGGUUAAAGCGGGCUGAUGAACAUUCCUACUUAUCCUCUACCUGCUUGAAGUGUAAUAUGUCUGAAUAUUUAAUUUUAAUAAAAAUUUAAUAAUUUGAAAGAUUCACAUGAAAGAAAAACUUGAAAGAAUUUCAAUUUCUCUACUUAUUUCAUUUAAUUUUGAAUGCCUACUUAUAGGUACGAUAAAGCAUAUGCCGCCUCUUCUACUCCAGCAAAAUAUUUAAGUGUACAGCAAUGUUCACAUGAGAGUUCUAAACUAUGUCUACAACUUAGUGUUAACUAUGGUUCUUUUAUGU
rnacentral:misc_RNA from 1 species